GUCAGCACCCCGCUCUAAAGAGACGGGGCAUCAUGCUUCUCUUUUUAGGUAGCUAGUACCCGCCUAAGUCCCUUGAGGGCUACGUUAUCGGCAAGAGUUAACGUUCCGACCCGGAGAUGCGUGGCCAGUCUCCGGCUCUAGAACCACAGCAUUAAACAGUCCUACGAGGGGUAAGACAGUGUGUUGUGGAAAGUACCGACCGAUAACUUAUGCGAGGCAAACAUUACCCCAGAAAUGGG
rnacentral:ncRNA from 1 species